rnacentral:rRNA from 1 species
GAUGAACGCUGGCGGCGUGCCUAACACAUGCAAGUCGAACGAGAUGCGUAUUGGAAAGCUUCGGCCGGAAGAUACGUUAUCUAGUGGCGGACGGGUGAGUAACACGUGGGUAACCUGCCUUAUGGAGGGGGAUAACAGAGAGAAAUCACUGCUAAUACCGCAUAAGCACACAUUGCCGCAUGGCAGAGUGUGAAAAGAUUUAUCGCCAUAAGAUGGACCCGCGUCUGAUUAGCCAGUUGGCAGGGUAAAAGCCUACCAAAGCAACGAUCAGUAGCCGAUCUGAGAGGAUGACCGGCCACAUUGGGACUGAGACACGGCCCAAACUCCUACGGGAGGCAGCAGUGGGGAAUAUUGCACAAUGGGGGAAACCCUGAUGCAGCGACGCCGCGUGAGUGAAGAAGUAUUUCGGUAUGUAAAGCUCUAUCAGCAGGGAAGAUAAUGACAGUACCUGACUAAGAAGCCCCGGCUAACUACGUGCCAGCAGCCGCGGUAAUACGUAGGGGGCAAGCGUUAUCCGGAUUUACUGGGUGUAAAGGGAGCGUAGACGGAGUGGCAAGUCUGAAGUGAAAACCCUGGGCUUAACCUGGGGACUGCUUUGGAAACUGUUAAUCUAGAGUGUUGGAGAGGUAAGUGGAAUUCCUGGUGUAGCGGUGAAAUGCGUAGAUAUCAGGAAGAACACCGGAGGCGAAGGCGGCUUACUGGACAAUAACUGACGUUGAGGCUCGAAAGCGUGGGGAUCAAACAGG